CCUUAGUUGCCAGCAUUCAGUUGGGCACUCUAAGGUGACUGCCGGCUAAAAAGUCGGAGGAAGGUGGGGAUGACGUCAAAUCAUCAUGCCCCUUAUGACCUGGGCUACACACGUGCUACAAUGGGCGGUACAAAGGGUCGCGAACCCGCGAGGGGGAGCCAAUCCCAAAAAAGCCGCUCUCAGUUCGGAUUGCAGGCUGCAACUCGCCUGCAUGAAGCCGGAAUCGCUAGUAAUCGCGGAUCAGCAUGCCGCGGUGAAUACGUUCCCGGGCCUU
rnacentral:rRNA from 1 species